rnacentral:rRNA from 1 species
GUGGGGAAUCUUAGACAAUGGGCGCAAGCCUGAUCUAGCCAUGCCGCGUGAGCGAUGAAGGCCUUAGGGUUGUAAAGCUCUUUCAGUGGGGAAGAUAAUGACUGUACCCACAGAAGAAGCCCCGGCUAACUCCGUGCCAGCAGCCGCGGUAAUACGGAGGGGGCUAGCGUUGUUCGGAAUUACUGGGCGUAAAGCGCACGUAGGCGGACUGGAAAGUCAGGGGUGAAAUCCCGGGGCUCAACCCCGGCACUGCCUUUGAAACUCCCAGUCUUGAGGUCGAGAGAGGUGAGUGGAAUUCCGAGUGUAGAGGUGAAAUUCGUAGAUAUUCGGAGGAACACCAGUGGCGAAGGCGGCUCACUGGCUCGAUACUGACGCUGAGGUGCGAAAGCGUGGGGAGCAAACAGGAUUAGAUACCCCUGUAGUCC